AUGCGAUGACAUACGUGCCGAAUUAUGGAUCGUGGUUACAUCAAAUCAAAUUGAUGAAAUCAUAUCUGCGAAAAUUCCUGAUUCGGAGAUAGAUCGAGAAUUAUACGAAGUAUUGAAAACCAAUAUACUUCAUGGACCGUGCGGACACCGCAAUUCCACUUCGAAACCUAUCGGCGUCGCUCACCAGACGACAAUGGCAGAACAUUCAGCAUUCAAUUUAGAGAAGUGUAUAUCGAAGUUGACAGCGCAUGAAUUGUACCAUAUUCUAACUCACAUUCAAAAGUCUUAUCAAUAUUUAGUAUAGCAGUUUGGUGAAAUCGAUCAAAUACGUCAAGUACGUCAUCAAAGAAAGCAACAUGGCGGUUAUUGGCCUUGAACGCUAUAAGAUCAGCAAGUAUCAAAUGGUUCGAUGCGUGAACUACAAUGAAGCGUUUUUACAUUUGGAGAAGGCCAAAGAGUGUACUUCAACCCAGAGAAUACAAUACAGCCAACGGAAAUACCGCCAACAACGAAAUCGACAUUGACGAGUUUCUUCUCAACUUGCCUCAGUGAUCCGUUUGCGAGAACAAUGCUCUAUUCGGGAAAUGUCUUCGAUGUUAUACAUGGAAUGCAUCGUCGAAGAAAUGGUUACGCAGAAAGCAUGGCCAAACAGUAGAUGGGCAUCCAGCUGUAUUCUUAACUACUGCAUUAGGACUAAUUUAUACAAUCCACCCUAAAAACGACGAUUGCUUCUACCUUCGGUUGCUAUUGAUUAUUGUACGCGGUUGAAUUUCAUUUGAGCCAUUGCGUACUCUAAAUGGUACACCAGCAAUUACAAUUGCUGAAACAUGAUAAUCACUGGAAUCAAACUAGGACGAUGCGAUAACUACUUCGCAUGCCACGGAAGUUCGUAAACUUUUCACGAUGAUCAUUUCGACAUAUCAGCCUUCAAAUCCUCGCCAAUUAUGGGAUACGAACAAAAAUGACAUUGCCGAAGACUUUUUACAUCGUAUUCGCUAAGUAUUGGAAGUGGUCAAAUUUCGGUUGAUAUUUCCAGUGGUUUGAUAUCAAUUCCACCUGCCUUUUGUCAAUUCACAUCAAAUUAUGGGAUACGAACAAAAAUGACAUUGCCGAAGACUUUUUACAUCGUAUUCGCUAAGAAUUGGAAUGGACAAUUUUCGGUUGAUACUUCCAGUGGUUUGAUAUCAAUUCCACCUGCCUUUUGUCAAUUCACAUCAACGAAAGAUGAACUCAUCACGAAUGUUUAUCCGAACAUUGGCCAAAUUAUCGUAACUACGAUUGCUUGAGUUCACGCGCAAUUUUAGCUUCCAAAAAUACCAAUGUUAUUGACUUAAACUGGAAGAUUCAAAGUCAAAUUCCGGGAGGUUUGCGCUCAUACAAAUCAAUCGAUCGUCUUGACAAUGAAGAUGAAGUCGUGAAUUAUCCGGUGGAAUUUAAAAAUUCUAUGGAGGCGUCUAAAAGGUGGAUCUGUCAUUAUUAUAUUUCGCAAUCUUCAUGCGCCGAAACUGUGUAAUGGAACCCGACUGAUAGUGACGCAGUUAUCGAAUACAAGGAGGUCGGCCGAAUACUUGAUUCUACAAAUUCCUUUGGAUUGCAACGAUUUGCAUUUGCGAUGAGAAUCAACAGGACACAAGGAUAGUCGCUAGAAGUGUGUGGCAUAAAUUUGGAAAUACCAUGUUUUUCACACGGCCGACUUUACGUGGCGUGUUCACAAAUUGGAAUACCAUCUUCUCUGUGUAUUUACUCCAAAAAAUGUUGUUUAUCAAGCCGCGCUAUAUUUAAAAAAAUGUAGAAAAAUCGCAAAUAAAUGAUUUUCAACAGAAUAUAAAUUCAUCUUUCUUUUCAUUUCAAAACACAUAAUUUCACGCAGGAG